rnacentral:rRNA from 1 species
GUGUGAAUUGCAGAAUCCCGUGAACCAUCGAGUCUUUGAACGCAAGUUGCGCCCGAAGCCAUUAGGCUAAGGGCACGCCUGCCUGGGUGUCACCAAUCGUUGCCCCAACCCCUGUGCCCGUGGGCACGGGCUGGGGCGAAUGUUGGCUUCCCGCGAGCACCGCCUCGCGGUUGGUUGAAAAUCGGGCUCGUGGUGGAUUCAGCGCCAUGACAGAUGGUGGUUGAGUAUGUUCUCGAGGCCAGUCAUGCCCGCGACCUCCACCAGUUCCGCGCCCAGUGACCCGCGAGCGACGUCGAUCGCCCAUGACGCGACCUCAGGUCAGGCGGGGCUAC